CGAGGGCACCGUGCAACGCCCGACAGCUCACGACUGAAGUGAAAGAUCUUGAUUACGAUCUUUCGUUAGAAUCGCGAUGAUUUUUGCCUCGAUAUUUUCGCGGAGGCCUCCGUUUUUCGGAUGAUGCGCUUUUUUACAGUGUCGGCCAGGUCUGUGACUAAAUUCGGUCUGCUCGAGACGGCUGAAAUUCGUGGAAAGUGCUGUGAUGAAAACAUGUGUUCAGUGCGACACCCAACGAGAUUACUGUGACCCGUGUGUGUGAUUUUCCUUCGUUCUAAGGUGAUUUCUGGUGUUUAACGGAUGGAAUAUGCGUAUUGCUACCUUUCUGGUUAUUAGUGUGUGAUUAUUUUGGAGCGAUGAAGUGUAUGUCUCUGGAUUUCCUCGUUUUUCUCAUCAUAGCCGUUGGAUUAGGUCUAGGAGAUCGCACGAAAGAGGAGGAUCAUUUUCAAGAAAAAGAUCGUGGGAAACUGCGAUCAGGCCCAGUGGCCGAUCGCACUUGGACCAAGUUUGAAUGCAGUGUGCAAAUUGUGUCUUAUCCUUAUCGGCCAAAUCUAAUGCUAUUGUGUGCGAGUUUAAGGUCAGUAUGGAAGCCGGCCUCUCCGAUGGCUCAUCGCUGCUCCCGGUGACUGAUCACUGUUGCGUUCUCGUUGGUCACCGCUCACCGCUGCUCCGAUUGGUGGACUCCUCGCCCGCCUGCGCCUCCUCGAGCCCCAGCCAAGGUGAGUCGAGAAUUCAUUUAUUUAUUGAUGUGCA
rnacentral:lncRNA from 1 species